rnacentral:rRNA from 1 species
CAGUGGGGAAUAUUGCACAAUGGGCGGAAGCCUGAUGCAGCAACGCCGCGUGAGGGAUGACGGCCUUCGGGUUGUAAACCUCUUUUAGCAGGGAAGAAGCGAAAGUGACGGUACCUGCAGAAAAAGCGCCGGCUAACUACGUGCCAGCAGCCGC